rnacentral:rRNA from 1 species
UGAGUAACCUGCCCUUAACUCUGGGAUAAGCCUGGGAAAACUGGGUCUAAUACCGGAUAUGACUCCUCAUCGCAUGGUGGGGGGUGGAAAGCUUUUUGUGGUUUUGGAUGGACUCGCGGCCUAUCAGCUUGUUGGUGAGGUAAUGGCUCACCAAGGCGACGACGGGUAGCCGGCCUGAGAGGGUGACCGGCCACACUGGGACUGAGACACGGCCCAGACUCCGUACGGGAGGCAG